GGGGAUGUUCUGGAUUCGACAGGUAUAGUUUGAGUUCGGAUUGCGCUUCGUAGGUUGCGUCUACGUAAAAACGCUCAGUUUAAAUUAUAACUGCAAAAAAUAAUAACAAUUCUUACGCAUUAGCUGCCUAAUAAGCGC
rnacentral:tmRNA from 1 species